AAUUGAAGAGUUUGAUCAUGGCUCAGAUUGAACGCUGGCGGCAGGCCUAACACAUGCAAGUCGAGCGGAAACGACUUAACUGAACCUUCGGGGGACGUUAAGGGCGUCGAGCGGCGGACGGGUGAGUAAUGCCUGGGAAUAUGCCUUAGUGUGGGGGAUAACUAUUGGAAACGAUAGCUAAUACCGCAUAAUGUCUUCGGACCAAAGAGGGGGACCUUCGGGCCUCUCGCGCUAAGAUUAGCCCAGGUGAGAUUAGCUAGUUGGUGAGGUAAGAGCUCACCAAGGCGACGAUCUCUAGCUGGUCUGAGAGGAUGAUCAGCCACACUGGAACUGAGACACGGUCCAGACUCCUACGGGAGGCAGCAGUGGGGAAUAUUGCACAAUGGGCGAAAGCCUGAUGCAGCCAUGCCGCGUGUAUGAAGAAGGCCUUCGGGUUGUAAAGUACUUUCAGUAGGGAGGAAGGUGU
rnacentral:rRNA from 1 species